GACGAACGCUGGCGGCGUGCCUAAUACAUGCAAGUAGAACGCUGAAGGAGGAGCUUGCUUCUCUGGAUGAGUUGCGAACGGGUGAGUAACGCGUAGGUAACCUGCCUGGUAGCGGGGGAUAACUAUUGGAAACGAUAGCUAAUACCGCAUAAUAGUAGAUGUUGCAUGACAUUUGCUUAAAAGGUGCAAUUGCAUCACUACCAGAUGGACCUGCGUUGUAUUAGCUAGUUGGUGGGGUAACGGCUCACCAAGGCGACGAUACAUAGCCGACCUGAGAGGGGGAUCGGCCACACUGGGACUGAGACACGGCCCAGACUCCUACGGGAGGCAGCAGUAGGGAAUCUUCGGCAAUGGACGGAAGUCUGACCGAGCAACGCCGCGUGAGUGAAGAAGGUUUUCGGAUCGUAAAGCUCGGUUGUAAGAGAAGAACGAGUGUGAGAGUGGAAAGUUCACACUGUGACGGUAUCUUACCAGAAAGGGACGGCUAACUACGUG
rnacentral:rRNA from 1 species